GCAUAUCAAUAAGCGGAGGAAAAGAAACCAACAGGGAUUGCCCUAGUAACGGCGAGUGAAGCGGCAACAGCUCAAAUUUGAAAUCUGGCUCUCUUUGGGGGUCCGAGUUGUAAUUUGCAGAGGAUGCUUUGGCAUUGGCGGCGGUCUAAGUUCCUUGGAACAGGACAUCACAGAGGGUGAGAAUCCCGUACGUGGUCGCCUGCCUUUGCCGUGUAAAGCUCCUUCGACGAGUCGAGUUGUUUGGGAAUGCAGCUCUAAAUGGGAGGUAAAUUUCUUCUAAAGCUAAAUACCGGCCAGAGACCGAUAGCGCACAAGUAGAGUGAUCGAAAGAUGAAAAGUACUUUGGAAAGAGAGUCAAAAAGCACGUGAAAUUGUUGAAAGGGAAGCGCUUGCAGCCAGACUUGCCCGCAGUUGCUCACCUAGGCUUUGGCCUGGGGCACUCUUCUGCGGGCAGGCCAGCAUCAGUUUGGGCGGUUGGAUAAAGGCCUCUGUCACGUAUCUUCCUUCGGGAUGACCUUAUAGGGGAGGCGUAAUGCAACCAGCCCGGACUGAGGUCCGCGCAUCUGCUAGGAUGCUGGCGUAAUGGCUGUAAGCGGCCCGUCUUGAAACACGGACCAAGGAGUCUAACAUCUAUGCGAGUGUUUGGGUGUCAAGCCCGGGCGCGCAAUGAAAGUGAACGGAGGUGGGAACCCUUUGGGUGCACCAUCGACCGAUCCUGAUGUCUUCGGAUGGAUUUGAGUAAGAGCAUAGCUGUUGGGACCCGAAAGAUGGUGAACUAUGCUUGAAUAGGGUGAAGCCAGAGGAAACUCUGGUGGAGGCUCGCAGCGGUUCUGACGUGCAAAUCGAUCGUCAAAUUUGGGCAUAGGGGCGAAAGACUAAUCGAACCAUCUAGUAGCUGGUUCCUGCC
rnacentral:rRNA from 1 species